rnacentral:rRNA from 1 species
AACGUAGGUACCGAGCGUUAUCCGGAUUUACUGGGCGUAAAGCGCGUUCAGGCGGUUUGGCAAGUCGGGCAUGAAAUCUCUCGGCUCAACCGGGAGAGGUUGUCCGAUACUGCUGGACUUGAGGGCAGUAGAGGGUGGUGGAAUUCCGGGUGUAGUGGUGAAAUGCGUAGAUAUCCGGAGGAACACCAGUGGCGAAAGCGGCCACCUGAACUGCACCUGACGCUGACACGCGAAAGCUAGGGGAGCGAACGGG